UACGUAGGGUGCGAGCGUUAAUCGGAAUUACUGGACGUAAAGGGUGUGCAGGCGGCUGAGUAAGACAGAUGUGAAAUCCCCGGGCUUAACCUGGGAACCGCAUAUGUGACUGCUUGGCUAGAGUGCGUCAGAGGGAGGUGGAAUUUCACGUGUAGCAGUGAAAUGCGUAGAUAUGUGGAAGAACACCGAUGGCGAAGGCAGCCUCCUGGGACGCAACUGACGCUCAUACACGAAAGCGUGGGGAGCAAACGAGG
rnacentral:rRNA from 1 species